rnacentral:rRNA from 1 species
UACGUAGGGUGCGAGCGUUAAUCGGAAUACUGGGCGUAAAGCGUGCGCAGGCGGUUCUAUAAGACAGAUGUGAAAUCCCCGGGCUCAACCUGGGAACUGCAUUUGUGACUGUAGAGCUGGAGUGCGGCAGAGGGGGAUGGAAUUCCGCGUGUAGCAGUGAAAUGCGCAGAUAUGCGGAGGAACACCGAUGGCGAAGGCAAUCCCCUGGGCCUGCACUGACGCUCAUGCACGAAAGCGUGGGGAGCAAACAGG